GGGGCUCUGAGGGCUCCUCUUGGUGGUGACUGUAGGGAUGUGGAUGCCCUUGGAUCCCCAGCUCGUGCUGCUUAUGUCACAGCUGUCCCAGAUGUCACAGCCCAGCUGGGCUUGGGCUCAGGACUUGCCACAUGUGGAGCAAGUGCUUUGCUUAGGUGAAAUUCUGAAAUUUUAGUUACAGAUGGGAUUGGCUGGUGGGGCAUCUCUAGUGCUGUUUAUUUUGACAUUGAAUUUGUCACACAGGAUAUUUGCACAGGGAUGGUGACUCCUCCACUGCCCUGGACAGCCUGAGCCGGUGCCUGACCACUCUUUCCAUGAAGAAGUUGUCCCCAGUAUCCAAUCUAAACUUCGCCUGGCACACUUUGAGGCCAUUUCCUCUCAUCCUUGUUCCCUGGGAGCAGAGCCUGACCCUCACCUGGUUGGUCCCUCCUGUCAGGAGUUGUGGAGAGCCAGGAGGUCCCUGUGCAAGAGAAGAGAACGGAGCCCUUCCCAGCAUGGGGCAGCUGGGACCCUCCCUUCUGGAGCCUGAGGGAUGUAGAUGCCCUCUUGGGAUCCACGUGCUGCACUGCAGCAGGCAGUAAAAUGGAUUUGUUUCUCCCACUGCAUGGGAAUAUGAUCACCAUGUAACUUUGAA